CCUACGGGGGGCAGCAGUGAGGAAUAUUGGUCAAUGGCCGGAAGGCUGAACCAGCCAAGCCGCGUGAGGGAGGAAGGCGCAGAGCGUCGCAGACCUCUUUUGCCGGGGGACAAAAGGCCGGACUCGUCCGGUCCUGAGGGUACCCGGAGAAAAAGCAUCGGCUAACUCCGUGCCAGCAGCCGCGGUAAUACGGAGGAUGCGAGCGUUAUCCGGAUUCAUUGGGUUUAAAGGGUGCGCAGGCGGGCCUUUAAGCCGGCGGUGAAA
rnacentral:rRNA from 1 species